rnacentral:tRNA from 1 species
UCCCUGGUGGCUCAGACGGUAAAGAAUCCGCCUGCAAUGCGGGAGACCUGGGUUCGAUCCCUUGGUUGGGAA